CGCCUCACAGGUGACCCGGUGCACCCUAACUAACAUCUCGGUAGUGUCUGCACGCAUCUGAGGAGCGCUGCCACUUUCGGAGCCGCCCGUGGUAGAAGACGGUCAGUAGGUGGCACUGUUUGUUGUGGAUUAGCUAAGGCUCUGCGCAUGCCAGCCGGCUCACCUGAUGGGGGGUAGGGGAGGGGCGCCCCGUCCCCCGGAACAGAACGCUCAGAUGUCUCAGAGGUUAGUGUGACCGGGAGCAAAACCCAGUUCCUCUUCCCGGCUCUUUAAAAGGAAAAUUCUGUUUCAGAUACACAGAGAGAUGUGUUCAGAAGGAACCUGACUUGACAUUCAGGACAUCUAGCCAUAAAUUAUUCCGACCCCUCCAUGUGAUGUAGAAGAUAUGAAUCUUAACAAUUCCGUCUACUGAGAAAGAAUUCUUGAGAUCACUAUUGGGAACAGUUUCUGAAAAAAGCGUGGUUUUGGUAUGGAUACAAAGCAAAGACUUGAAAACCCCAGAACGGUGGCCAGUGAAGUCAGCCAGGUGCUGUCCUGUCUCUGAAUUUGAAGCUCAGUCCCCACACAGCCCCACGUGAACCUCUUCCUCUCUUUUCCAGGGGAGGAAAAGCCAGGUACGUGUCAUUCCAGUUACCUGCCCAAUUCUCCUCAGAGUUAUCCUGGUCUUUUCAGUCUGCUAAUGGACUGUAAAAUGAAAUUAGUUUCUCAGGCUUUCUGUACUGGGUGAAAGUGAAAUUGGUCAGUGAGCCGGAAGUUGGCUGAAAUAUGCUAUUAUUUUUAGUGCACGUCUUGCAGUAAGGGAUAAGCACUUCGGGGAUUAUGUUACAGAGAAAUUGACACAAGAAACGGUUGAAAUUCUUUAUAGACACGGAGAUCCAUAAAUAUGCAUGCGUGCACACAGUUGUGCACAGAAACACAGAAACACACAUGUAUGUUGGCAUACACACAGUCUCACUAGGACAGGCAUUUACUUAGUGGAUGCCCAAAACUCAAGUUCAAAUUCAUUACAAAAUGGAACUAUUGGUGAUGAAUGAUUGCAGGGACCAUCACAAUGGCUUAUGUUACAAAAAAAGAUAGUUUUUGAGAAUUUUUAAGUGAAAUAUGCUCAUAAGAAGAAACCCUGAGAACUAGCAAGAAGAUAAGAUAUGUUGGUGUAAACUAUUAUUAAAAUUUGUUUCCUGAGACUUGAAGUUGUUGGCAGUUAUGGAAGUCAUGCUGGGCUUGGAGCAGGGAGAAAAAGAGAGUGUGGGAGCUUGUGCUCCAGCGGCUCAGAGCUGCCGAGUUCCCCUGGAGCACCAGGGUCCCUCCCCAAGCUGUCCUUUUCUCCUUUCCUCUCUUUUUUCUUCCCUUCUCCCUUCCUCUUUCUUUAUUAUUUUCCCAGCUUUGUGGGCUGUUUUGGUUAACACUUGCAUUGUGUUCAGGCCCAAUGAUUUUUGGUCUCAGUUUAUUUCGUUUGUCCUAGAUAAAAGUUUUUCAGAUGUACAAACAGCCAGCAAAAAUGUGCAUCCUGCUCAGUUAUGCUCAGUCCGGUAUCUCUUAGCAGUUUCUCCCAGAAGAUGAAGAUGAAGAAGAAAUGUCUAGCUACAGGCAAAGCAAGCACUGCUUCUGAAAUGAUUUGAUGCCCUCUCCGUUUUCAUCACUUGAUAAAGAUUUGUGUUAUCUGAAGUACUAUUCUAUCUGCCUCAUAAAAGAAAAGGAAUUUUAAUGUGAGAACAAAUAAAACUCAAUGAUAAAUCAACAUUGCCAGCAUAUCUCUAAUAAAUAUUUGAUAAAAGGCUAGCAAAUUCAAGAUCCUUGAAACUUUAAUGGAAGAAAAUUUAUGAGAACAGGAAACCGAAAGUAGGCCAUCUCUGUGGGCGCUGCGCUGCUUCAUCUCAUCUGGUUUCUAGCACACAGCUGUAUGUAAGAACGUGGGUGCACGGAAUGUGGGUAUAAGACCAUCAUGAUCCUUUCUUUCUACAUUAAACUCCUUGUCUUGAAAAAUAUCUUGACUCUACAUGAAUCUGUGUACUUUUCUGAGAGCAUGCAUAACAUGUUUUUUUUCUCAGGAAUGCAAUGAGGUUGCUGUUUCCAAAAGCUCUUAAAUUCUGAAAUAUAAGAAGUGUUCUUCCCAGCACUGGAACCCAGAAGCCACCUAUACACAAUGUGGUGAACAGAAUGCGCAAGAUCUCUCAUGACAAAUCUGAAAUUUGUUUUUCUCAGCUACGGGAAGCCUACUGGGAGAAGAUUCCAAGCAAUUUGGCAACUUAAAGCAAAAUGUAUGCUUUGAUGUUGUACCAUUCCUCCGAGGAGUAAGUCAUACCAUAUUGCAGAAAAAUGGGGUUGAGUGUUGCAUUUAUAAUUAUACCCCCAAAAGUGAUUCCAUGGCUAUCAUGCAAGGAUGUGACCUAAAAAAGAAGUCAUUGUCGCAAGGCUGGGUAGCAUUUACAUGCCUGUGUAAAUGUGUAGUUGAUCACACAUCGUACCUCCUGGUUUCUCCUUCCCCUAACUUAGACCAUGCGCUUUCCUAAUUCACUUUUGGCUUAAUAUUUUAUUACUUAAUAAUAAUUCAGUAAAUUUACUUAGAACAAGAAAUCCAUCCAAUGACUCAGGGCUGAGGGAUGCUUGCAGAGUAAAAUAAGCAUGCAUUUCGUGCCAUCUGAGGCUUUCCAGAGUCCCUCAGCCCAGUCGCCACUAAUGCCAGGAGCUUUGAAAUAAAGCAGAAGCUCUGCAGGGCACGAUCCCUUCCCAAGGAGGGGAGUUCAUGGUCCCUGGACGUGAACAGCGAACACGCCGUUGCCAUCUUUUCCUGUAACCAAAAUUCUGAUAGACCCCAAACAGAAUCGAGCCCAUUUUAAUGUAAAACAGAGUAGAAAUCAGGGAUGAAAAGACUUUCAGUUAUAUAUAAUUUCUAGUUGGGGAUUUUAGUUUGUAAAGGACUGUUGAUUUUUAAAAGCAAGGGAAGAAAUGUCAGUAUCCUCCUGAGGAGUUUUUGAUAGGAAACCUCAGUCCUCCCAGAGCACAUCUGUUUUCAGACAUCUGUAUGGUUUCACUGUUUACCAGAUCUGAAGUUGGGAAGAUGGAUCUUACCUCCGUGAUCUCUUGGCAUUUUGUCCUAAUUUAAUUAGCAGUGAUUUUUUUCCUGCCUAACAACAGGAAGCAUUUUUGUGAACUAUUGUAGUUGUUAAUGUGACAGAAGGGAUCUAACUUUUUAAUCACAGACAUUCAUGUUUUCAGCAGCCCUUUUUCACUUUUCCCUGUAUGUCACCCAGUUCCACCCCGUGAUGACUUAUCUCCAGGGUGUGACUGUUCUGCCUGUAACAUAAACCAUGAAUCAAGCAGUUGGCAAAGUAUUGCCUAUGUGGAGUCCGCCUCGGUCUAUUUCCUAUUCUUCCACAGGAAACCUGCACAAGGCAAGGUAUUUGUCUACUUCCUUCAGUGGAUACAAACAGAAUGAAGCCACACAAAUCUGGAUGGGUUGGCAAGCAUGCCCAAAGAGGAAGCUCCCGCCUGAGUUAGGAACUUCACUAAAUUUCUCACCGAGAUGUUUAACGAUGGCUUCUCUGAAACUCUGACAGACGUCAACCAGCAAGAGGCUUCCAGCUCACGCCUGGUGGUGCAAACUCAGAGGUAUCACAGUCACCCUUUGCCCACCAAGGGAGACUCCUUUCACAGCAUGAACUAGAGUUUGGAUAACAUCUUUGAUGUGUGACACCCUUAAGUCUAUCAGCUCUUUCUCUCCUUUCACUGGCCACCAGCCUCUCAAAAUUUAUAAAGGAGCUGGGAUGAACCCCAGACCUCACCUCUGCAGCUUGCUGCUGGGAAGCUUGAGGUAAGCUGGACAUCCAUAGAACUGGGCAGGGCCUGGUCACCUGAGGGGGAAACUGAGAAAAGACAAUGGAGAAAAUCUCUGCUGGAAAAAAGAGAUUCACGCCAAGUUCCUCAUAGGAGCCUCUAACUACAAAUAAAGGAACAGAGAUACUUCUCUGAGAGUCACAGAAGCACAGUGGUAGCAUCUCUGUGUGCCCCAAGAGGAAAAUCUGCCCCUUCUGUAGGUUGCCUUAUUCAUCUCUAAAUCUGCAGGAGAAAAGCAGGCCUAUAUCAGUGAGUUCCCUCCUAAAAGAUGAAAUACAAGUUCAGCACCCUCUGGAAUUGGAAUUCCAUCCCGGCCCAGGCCACUGCCAAUCAGGAAGCCAGCAGCAGUGCCAAGUGACUCUGUCUUUCCUCUGAGCUUUCCUGCUGUUGGCUUCAAUUCCCACGUUUAUUUUUCACAAAUGCGGAGCACUUCUGAAUGAAAGAUGGACUACAUUCUGUUCCAGUCUGACAGCCGUUCCUGUGGUUGUCGCUCCUGCUGCUGAAAUCACAUUUCUGAUCACUUCAGCCUUUGGGCAGGCUCGUGCUGGCCACAGAUGUGAGCAUCUCGUGUUCCUAUCUGGGAGAUACAACUAUCUGUUCUCUUCAAACCACUAUCAAAAUAAAAUCCAGCUUUUCUCCUUCUGGAUGACACAGCCCUGCUCUCACAGGACUCUGUUCCAGUCCAUGUGAAGGCAAGCACCCAAGAAGAGAACACAUGACUGUGUCUCAUCCAAAGGAUGCUAAUUACCUACAAGGUGUAAGGCACUGUGGGCACCUUCUGAAUGGUGAGCACAAGGCUCUCUUAUUAUACUUCCUGCUAUUUCAGCCAGCAAAGAAGAGCCACCCAUGGAGAAGACGGCACAGUGAGCCUCAAAUUACAGGUUUAAGGUCCGUCAGAUGAUGAUGGUGGUGAUGAAGAUGAUGCAUGUAUGUUUUUGUGUAUGUGGAUCUCGUAUAAAAAAAGACAGGAUGAGAAAGAAUACAGCACAAGUAGAGAGCUCCUGAUUAUGCAACUUCAUUAAAGCAUAUGUGAGAAUUAAUAUAUAAAUAUCUGACAUCUGUAACAUAAGUCAGUAGGGCCUAUAGAAGGUACUGAAUUUGUAUUGGGGAGAUUUUUUUUUAGUUGGGAUGAUCAAAGGAACUCACCAUAUGCAUUUACAGGAAGAUUAAUAUAGAGUCACAACACCAUAAUGGAAACAUUGAUUCAGAAUGAGAACUUGUUCAGUUGUAUUAGUCAGCUUUCUGUUUUGGGGGAAAAUUUCCUGACUCUCCCAAUUUAAAGACAGAGAAGUCUGUUUGGCUCAUGAUUGCAGAGGUUCAGUCCAUGGUUGCUUGGCAUCAGGGCAGGAAAUUCUUGGCAGAAGGGUGAAACAACAAAGCUGUUUCUUUCCUGGUGGAAGGAAAGCAGAACAGGGGAACUGUGCCACCGGGGGGCAGAGACCAUCUAUGGUACCCAAGGUCACUCACUCUCCCAAGUCUCACCCAGACACCUGCAGAAGUGUGCUCUGCCGUUUCGCUGUGCACUCCCAAACCCAUCAACCAUGUCAGCACAGACACGUCGAGCCAUCCUCGCAGUCCAUGAGAAACACCAUCUGUAUGUGCACCAACACCCUGUGAUGAGUGUGUUUGCUAUGUGUUACAAACAUGUAGAAAUAAAAAAAAUUCUAAAAAAUGUGAAUACUUAGCAGUCAUGAACAAAUACAGUGUUGAUAAGAAUUUAGAGGAGAACAGGACUGAGAUGACACUGAAGAAAUAUUCUGCAGCAUCUAGACUUUCAUGGAUAAGAACAAAGAGUUCUACUAUUUGCAGAAUGACCAGAAACAACCUCUAGUACCUUGAAUAGACAGCGUAGAAGAUGCACACAGGCAUUGAGGGGACUGGUGAUGGCAUGUGAGUUGACCAGGAAAAAGAAUAAAUGACAUUGAAUCAUCAUCCAGUGGGCCAGUAGGACAAGGAAGUAAUUCUAAGGACCAAAAUCAGUGGGACACAGAAUGUAAGCCUUGUGGAUGCUGACGUGAUAACUAUUAAAGUCAUGAGCACCAGUGAGACUGACUUUAACAGUGACCAAGAAAAGAAAGGCUUGAGUAAGGGGCGAACAUAAAUUUUCUGAUCAUUUAUUAUAUAAUAGGCAUUGGCUGUGGUGUUUCCUCUGGAACAUUUUAUUUAUAUAGCAUAAAAUCCUAGGGAAAUGUCUAAGGGAAGGCAUGGGAGAAGAGAAAACAUUAAAAGAAAAAGUACGAGAGGGGAAAUGGAAAAAGAAGGUCAGUAGCAGGUCUGUAGCAGAAGAAGAGAGAGGGACAGGUCAUGCUGUACCGUCAGGUUAUUAACAGUCUGGAUGAUUCACCAGAGAGAGCAAAAACAGGAUUUCAAGGCGAUACCCAAUAAACUAGGAAGACAAAAAGCCGACCCACAGAGGUCUUUUCCCCACACACCCUUCAGAGUCCUCUCGCUCCCCUCUCUUUUUCCUGGUGCUCUUUGUCUCUGCCUUUGCAAGUUCUCUCUAUGAAAAACUGGCUCUGGGACCCUGGACUUCUCAGUGAACAUGUACUGCUAGAUCCCAUUUUGCACAGCCAGUACUUUUUCCUGGUGGUUUUAAAUGCUUUCUUUAUGUUGAGUUUUUGUUUGCUAGUGCUGGGGAAUAAGCCCAGGACCUCUAGAGUGCCAGGCAGUGCUCUGCCCCUGAGCUACUGACCAGCACCUUUUGGAUGCUGGUACAUCAUGUGCGGGCCUGAAUUUAUGCUCAGAAUGACUGUGUUGAGUGAUUGCUGUUACUGUUUUCAUUUGUCAGUGAGGCAAACAGAGGCACAGAUAAACAGCUCUCCUGAGACUAUGCAAACAGAAAGUGAAGGCAUUUGGGUGAAUGGAUUAUGCCUUUGCAUAUGUGAGAGAGAUGGAAACUAAUCAUAGGGUUCCAGAUUCAUGACCUUGGCAUUUUCUGUUUAGCUUUAUUUGUUUCCAGAAAAUCACAGAGACAUUUUUUAUGUACACACAUCCGGGAGAUAAGAUGGCCUUCCUCACACUGGGAAUGAGUCUCCCCAGAAGUAAAUGGGAAUAGAAAACCAGACAAACAAAUAAACAAAGGAAAGGCUUUUCAAAACUACUAACCUGGAUAAAAAUACAAACUGUUUUAAUAAAAGGAAAAUCAGUAAGUACAGGCCAGCUGUUACUCCUGCCCCGUGACCUUUUGUCAAUUCGUAUUUUAUAAAUUGGUGUUGAGAUUUGCACCUAAGACCUUGACAGCAGGAUGUUAGUUCACUUUCUGUCUCCUUUUGUGUGUUUAUUUUAUGAGCUGAUCAGUGUGCACUUUUCUUAUAGAAAUAAAUAAGCAUCUUGUUCACACACUGAAAA